GGAGCGGUAGUUCAGUUGGUUAGAAUCCCGGCCUGUCACGCCGGGGGUCGCGGGUUCGAGUCCCGUCCGCUCCGCCA
rnacentral:tRNA from 1 species